rnacentral:misc_RNA from 1 species
ACAAGGUUUCCGUAGGUGAACCUGCGGAAGGAUCAUUGUCGAAACCUGCAUAGCAGAAAACCAAGUGAACUUGUAGCAAAACUUUGAGGGAAGCAUCACAUGCUUCUCCUCCAUGUUGUCGGGAUGUGCUUGAUAUUAUCUACCACCAUGCUUUAUGCUUGGGGAAGAAUGUUGAGUACCCCCGACUUCAAAACUCACCCCGGCGUGAAUUACGCCAAGGACUUUUUAAAAGGAUUGAACAUUCCUUCACAUUACUGUAUUCAUGCAGGUAAUUGGAGGAGGUGUCAUCUUCUUGAUGUCUUUAAUGACUCUCGGCAACGGAUAUCUCGGCUCUCACAACGAUGAAGAACGUAGCGAAAUGCGAUACUUGGUGUGAAUUGCAGAAUCCCGUGAACCAUCGAGUUUUUGAACGCAAGUUGCGCCCGAAGCCAUCUGGUUGAGGGCACGUCUGCCUGGGCGUCACGUACCCACUCCUCUCACAACCUAUAUCCCAUGGGUCUUAAGGCUUUGUGUUGAGGAAAGGUUGGCCUCCCAUGCACUCUGUGUGUGGUUGACCUAAAAUAGAGUACCGAGUGAUAAAACGUCACGAUAAGUGGUGGUAUACAAAGCCUAAUCGAGUCGAGCGUUUAUCACAAAUGUGCUCCCAAAACCCAAACACGUUGAUUUGGCGCUAUUUUGCGACCCC